rnacentral:tRNA from 1 species
UAGAGUGUAGUGUAAUAUAGGUAGCACAAAGAUUUUUGAGUUCUUAAGAAUAGGUUCAAUUCCUAUGAUUCUAG